GCUCAUAACAACAUCAGCUGCUCCUCGUUGUACUAAUGGGACUCUCAAUAUACUCCACCACUCACACACUCCUGUGUGUUUUUGGAGCUUGUAAGCAUGUUUUUUCAUUUUGAGUGUCUGAUUCAACGACUCCGUGUCAUUGCGGCAAGCUGAUUUUUAUCACUAAAACUUGUUUGAAUUCAUUCUACACCAACGCAUGGGAAAGGAGGAGCAUAGUGAUGGCUGGACACUGUGCUGCUGAUGCUGGCUUUGUCUGACCACAUAAACAGAAAAAAAUACGUCAUUGUUGGAGAUGGAGUGACAGAUCUGUGUGGAUAUCAGAGAAGCAGUGGGAGGAACAUUCUCCGCUCUCACAUUGCACAACCAGGGCCUGUUGAUGACAUCGGAUUUUAUUCGUGCAAAUCGAAAAGGAAUUUGAUCAUUCAGCUGUGGAGCAACGUUUUAACUCAUUUAAAUGUUUAGCAUAAAGCUCUAAAUUCCCAGUUAUUGCUCAUACACAAAGUAUUUUGGUAAAUUUUGGAAGUAAAAAAGAAGUUAUUCUGAUUUCUUUUAGUUUCUACAUGUUUGUUUGUUUUUUUUUCAAUCAUUCACAUUAAUUAUUUAUUUUUUCCCAAUGGCCAAAAAAUUGAAUUUCUGGAAAUUCUGUUUUGUUGUGUCAUUGUUCAGCAUUGAAUGUCUUUGUCAGGUCACACUCCACAGUGGUGGUUAAUGGAAUAGAUAAAAACACACGGUGAUAUUAAGCUAAUUUCUUCUCUGUUCCAAGUGCUUGUUCAUAAGAAUCUAAAAUACGUAGGCCUCAUUUUUAAAUACUAAAAUUCUGUGUUGGGAAAAAUAUCACAUCUCAUACUAAAAGCCAAAAGAGUCCUUACUUUUUCAUGUCAAACUUGCAUAGAUAAAAUAAUUCAUUUGUUUAUUCUGAUUGAAUAUGUCCCAUAAGUCGAUUUUCAUUUUGUCCGCCAGUGUGCUGGCCUAAAGGGUUUAGAUUCGGAUAGGAUUUAGACAGAUUAUUAUUAUUUAUAAACCCAAUACACAGAGGAUCUCUCUAAAACUACAUAGUAUUAAACUAAAUACUGCUCCGUUAUAGGCACAUUGUAAGGAGCUUGGUUAGCACUAAACCAGACCACCAGAGGGCGUCUGGCAGGUGUUUCCGUAUGUGGGCGGUGCUACCUGUCUCAUGUUUCCCGCCAUUGCAUCUGAUCCUUGUGGACUUUAUUUAGAUGCCUUAUAUAUGUUCAUUUCAUUGACUUUGUGUUUGUAGCUGUUGUUAUCAUUGUUAUAGAUGUUGUUAUAUUGGCACUUUCAUGAUAGCUAUGUUUCAUGUCAUUCAUGUUAUUACAGUUAGAUUGCCAAGUUAUAGUGCAAAGUUAUGUCAAGUUAUAGAUUGCCAAGUUAUGUCUAUGUCUCAUGUUCAUUGUAAGGUUGUACUGUAGUUUCAGGCUUUGUUUAAUUAAAAGGUGCUUACACUGGAAUCCCUGCACUUGGGUCUAAUUACCUAUACAGGACGGAUGCCGGCCUCGAUCCGCCCUUGUACGUUACACACAUACAGUACACUGGUGCAAUAAAUGUGGAUCACUUUUUGGUGAAAGGUUUGUAGACACUUGACUAGAGGGCUGCACUGGGAUUGGGCUCCCGCGGGACCCAUGGGACCCAACGCAAAUCUCGCGGGAGCGGGCGGUUUUAUCUUUGCCCCGGGCGGGAGUGGGAGGUCAGAAAAUUU